rnacentral:rRNA from 1 species
AGAGUUUGAUCAUGGCUCAGGAUGAACGCUGGCGGCGUGCCUAACACAUGCAAGUCGAACGGACUGGAGCAAUCCAGUCAGUGGCAAACGGGUGAGUAACGCGUAGGAAUCUGCCCCGAAGAGGGGAGAUAGCCCACCGCAAAGGUGGGGUAAUAUCCCAUAGUCCCGCAAGGGUAAAGUCGUUAAGACGCCUUCGGGAGGAGCCUGCGUCCUAUCAGCUUGUUGGUAAGGGUAAUUGGCCUACCAAGGGCUUUGACGGGUAGCCUGGUCUGAGAGGAUGGUCAGCCACACCGGGACUGAGACACGGGCCCGGACACCUUACGGGUGGCAGCAGUUGGGAAUUCGUGCGCCAAUGGACGAAAGUCGGACGCCCGCGACCCCCGCGUGGAGGAAGAAGCCCUUCGGGGUGUAAACUUCUUUUUUUGUGGGACGAUUGUGACGGUACCACAAGAAUAAGGACCGGGCUAACUACGUGCCAGCAGCCGCGGUAAUACGUAGGGGUCCGAGCGUUAUCCGGAAUUUACUGGGCGUGAAGAGCUCGUAGGCGGUUUGGUUAAGUUUUUGUUGAAAUCCCCAAACCUCAAUUUUGGGGCAAACGGCCAAAAAAGACUUAUCAGACUUGGAAGACUGGGCAUGGGGCCAAGCGGAAUUGACGGUGUAGGGGAUAAAAUACCCAUUGAUAUCGUUCAAGAACACCCAAUUGGCGAAAAGGCCAGCUUGCUAGUGCCAAAUUCUGCACGCUGUAGGCUAGCGAAAAGCGUGGGGGAGCAAACGGGAUUAGAUACCCCGGUAGUCCACGCCGUAAACGAUGCAUACUAGGUAUUGGGAUUAUCGACCUUCCUUGUACCGAAGCUAACGCGUUAAGUAUGCCGCCUGGGGAGUACGGUCGCAAGACUAAAACUCAAAGGAAUUGACGG